rnacentral:rRNA from 1 species
AAGAUAACAUGUCGCGGCUGUCCUAACCAACGGGCUGUGAACAACACGUGGAUGAUGUGUGGAUAGCGUUGAAGUGCCGACCGAGCCCGGAGAUAGCUGGUUCCCCCCGAAUGAGCCUUAGGGCUGGCCUCAAGGUAAGGGAUAAGGAGGUAGAGCUAUGAAUGUCCUAGGUAGUAUUGCACCUACCUAAGACUAUCAAACUCCGAAUGCCGUCAUCUUAUACUUGGGAGUCAGACUGUAGGUGAUAAGAUUCAUAGUCGAAAGGGCAACAGCCCAGAUCGUCAGCUAAGGUCCCUCAAUGUAAGUUAAGUGGGAAAGGACGUGGGAUUGCACAGACAACCAGGAUGUUGGCUUAGAACCAGCCACUCAUUCAAACAGUGGGCAAUAGCUCGCUGUUCGAGUGGUCCUGCCCCGUACCGUUCAGGUGCGAAAACUUACUACCGAAGCUACAGUAUCAGUAAUGAUGCGUAGGGCAGCU